rnacentral:lncRNA from 1 species
GGGUGGGUGUCAUCGAGAAUCAAGGAGUCGAUGGUGACGCAAGGAACACGAUUUAGAUAGGUUCAGGCCGCUAGAUCGCGUAACACCCUACGUCCUGUGUGUAGAUUGUAUUGAUCAAGUUGUGUUGCUCUUAGUCAUUUGGAGGAGGUCCCUACCCGCCCUUAUAUAGUCGGGGGAGCAGGGUUACAGGGCGGAUUGUAUGAGUCCUAGUCGAGUACGUUUACAGAGUUCUACUCAUAUUCGGUGUAGUAGUUUCCUUCUGACCCGACUAGUUUUUGGGGGAUACAUG